AACGUAAAGAACCUGCCUCAUAGACUGGGACAACUAUUGGAAACGAUAGCUAAUACCGGAUAACAGCAUUAACUGCAUGGUUGAUGUUUAAAAGUUGGUUUUGCUAACACUAUGAGAUGGCUUUGCGGUGCAUUAGCUAGUUGGUGGGGUAAAGGCCUACCAAGGCGACGAUGCAUAGCCGACCUGAGAGGGUGAUCGGCCACACUGGGACUGAGACACGGCCCAG
rnacentral:rRNA from 1 species